rnacentral:rRNA from 1 species
GAUGAACGCUAGCGGGAGGCCUAACACAUGCCAGCCGAGCGGUAUUUGUUCUUCGGUGCAGCGAGAGCGGCGCACGGGUGCGGAACACGUGUGCAACCUGCCUUUAUCUGGGGGAUAGCCUUUCGAAAGGAAGAUUAAUACCCCAUAAUAUAUUUAUUGGCAUCAUUUGAUAUUGAAAACUCCGGUGGAUAGAGAUGGGCACGCGCAAGAUUAGAUAGUGGGUGAGGUAACGGCUCACCAAGUCAAUGAGCUUUAGGGGGCCUGAGAGGGUGAACCCCCACACUGAUACUGGGACAAGGACCAGACGCCUACGGGAGGCAGCAGUGAGGAAGAUUGGACAAUGGGUUAGCGCCUGAACCAGCCAGCCCGCGUGAAGGACGACGGCACUAUGGGAUGUAAACUUCUUUUGUAUAGGAAUAAACCUGCUAUCGUGAGAGUAGCGGAAGGUACUAUACGAAUAAGCACCGGCAAACUCCGG